rnacentral:tRNA from 1 species
UUCCUGGAAAUCCAGUGUUUAGGACUCAGGGCUUUCACUCCUAGGUCCCAGGUUCAAUCCCUGGUCAGGGAG